CCUACGGGAGGCAGCAGUGAGGAAUAUUGGUCAAUGGGCGCGAGCCUGAACCAGCCAAGUCGCGUGAGGGAUGACGGCCCUACGGGUUGUAAACCUCUUUUGCCGGGGAGCAACGGGCGCCACGUGUGGCGCCACUGAGAGUACCCGGAGAAAAAGCAUCGGCUAACUCCGUGCCAGCAGCCGCGGUAAUACGGAGGAUGCGAGCGUUAUCCGGAUUUAUUGGGUUUAAAGGGUGCGUAGGCGGAUCGUUAAGUCAGUGGUCAAAUUGAGGGGCUCAACCCCUUCCCGCCAUUGAAACUGGCGCUCUUGAGUGGAAGAGAAGUAUGCGGAAUGCGUGGUGUAGCGGUGAAAUGCAUAGAUAUCACGCAGAACUCCGAUUGCGAAGGCAGCAUACCGGCGCUCAACUGACGCUCAUGCACGAAAGUGUGGGUAUCGAACAGGAUUAGAUACCCUUGUAGUC
rnacentral:rRNA from 1 species